CGGCGUGCUCCAGCCGCUAAACCCCCAAUUCUUAAAGGUGACCUCGGAUCA
rnacentral:rRNA from 1 species